rnacentral:rRNA from 1 species
AUUGAACGCUGGCGGCCGGCCUAACACAUGCAAGUCGAACGAGCGGCGGACGGGUGAGUAAUGUAUGGGGACUGCCCGAUAGCGGGGGAUAACUACUGGAAACGGUAGCUAAUACCGCAUACUAUCGGAUAACCCAUAUGGGAUUAGCUAGUAGGUGAGGUAAUGUCUCACCUAGGCGACGAUCCCUAGCUGUUCUGAGAGGAUGAUCAGCAACACUGGGAAUGAGAAACGGCCCAGACUCCUACGGAGGCAGCAGUGGGGAAUAGUGCACAAUGUGCGCAAGCCGGAUGCAGACAUGCCGAGUGUAUGAAGAAGGCCCUAGGGUUGUAAAGUACUUUCAGUCGGGAGGCGUUACCGACAGAAGAAGCACCGGCUAACUCCGUGCCAGCAGCCGCGGUAAUUC